GACGAACGCUGGCGGCGUGCUUAACACAUGCAAGUCGAGCGGUAAGGCCCUUUCGGGGGUACACGAGCGGCGAACGGGUGAGUAACACGUGGGUGACCUGCCUUUAGCUCUGGGAUAAGCCUGGGAAACUGGGUCUAAUACCGGAUAUGACCCUAUGGCGCAUGUUGUGGGGUGGAAAGCCUUGUGCGGCUAGGGAUGGGCCCGCGGCCUAUCAGCUUGUUGGUGGGGUGAUGGCCUACCAAGGCGACGACGGGUAGCCGGCCUGAGAGGGCGACCGGCCACACUGGGACUGAGACACGGCCCAGACUCCUACGGGAGGCAGCAGUGGGGAAUCUUGCGCAAUGGGCGAAAGCCUGACGCAGCGACGCCGCGUGAGGGAUGACGGCCUCGGUUGUAACU
rnacentral:rRNA from 1 species